GCCCCUGUGGUGAAACUGGUAGACGCGCCGGAUUCAAAAUCCGGUUCCGCAAGGAGUGUCGGUUCGAGCCCGACCGGGGGCACCA
rnacentral:tRNA from 1 species